UACGAAGGGGGCUAGCGUUGCUCGGAAUCACUGGGCGUAAAGGUGCGUAGGCGGGUCUUUUAAGUCAGGGGUGAAAUCCCGGGGCUCAACCUCGGAACUGCCUUUGAUACUGCAAAUCUCGAGUCCGGAAGAGGUGAGUGGAAUUCCUAGUGUAGAGGUGAAAUUCGUAGAUAUUAGGAAGAACACCAGUGGCGAAAGCGGCUUCCUGGUCCAGCACCGACGUUCAGGCACGAAAGCGUGGGGAGCAAACAGG
rnacentral:rRNA from 1 species